rnacentral:rRNA from 1 species
UACGUAGGGGGCGAGCGUUGUCCGGAUUUAUUGGGCGUAAAGAGCUCGUAGGCGGCUGUUCGAGUCGGGUGUGAAAUCCUGAGGCUUAACCUUGGGUCUGCAUUCGAUACUGGGCGGCUUGAGUCUGGUAGGGGGAUCUGGAAUUCCUGGUGUAGCGGUGGAAUGCGCAGAUAUCAGGAGGAACACCGGUGGCGAAGGCGGGAUCCUGGACCGAGAUUGACGCUGAUGCGCGAAAGCCAGGGGAGCAAACGGG